UACAGAGGGUGCGAGCGUUAAUCGGAAUUACUGGGCGUAAAGCGUGCGUAGACGGUUAUUUAAGUCGGGUGUGAAAUCCCCGGGCUUAACCUGGGAAUGGCAUUUGGGACUGCAAGGCUCGAGUGCGGCAGAGGAGACUGGAAUUCCUGGUGUAGCAGUGAAAUGCGUAGAUAUCAGGAGGAACACCGAUGGCGAAGGCAGGUCUCUGGGCUGACACUGACGCUCAUGCACGAAAGCGUGGGGAGCAAACAGG
rnacentral:rRNA from 1 species